rnacentral:rRNA from 1 species
UACAGAGGUCCCGAGCGUUGUUCGGAUUCACUGGGCGUAAAGGGUGCGUAGGUGGCUUUGCAAGUCUGAUGUGAAAUCUCCAGGCCCAACCUGGAAACUGCAUUAGAAACUGUGAGGCUGGAGGCUUGGAGGGGGAACUGGAAUGCUCGGUGUAGCAGUGAAAUGCGUAGAGAUCGAGCGGAACACCAGUGGCGAAGGCGGCUCUCUGGACCACAACUGACGCUGAGGCGCGAAAGCUAGGGGAGCAAACAGG